rnacentral:rRNA from 1 species
UACGGGGGGGGCAAGCGUUGUUCGGAAUUACUGGGCGUAAAGGGCGCGUAGGCGGCCUGCUAAGUCACACGUGAAAUCCCCCGGCUCAACCGGGGAACUGCGUGUGAUACUGGCGGGCUUGAAUUCGGGAGAGGGAUGUGGAAUUCCAGGUGUAGCGGUGAAAUGCGUAGAUAUCUGGAGGAACACCGGUGGCGAAGGCGGCAUCCUGGACCGAGAUUGACGCUGAGGCGCGAAAGCGUGGGGAGCAAACAGG